UGUCAAACAAACCCAAACAGUCCUGACCCGCGACAAUAUGAAACAGGAAAGUACCGCCGUGUAUUCCAUUUAUUUCAACAAAGUAACUGUAUUCUGAAUACCACCUUUUUAAACGGUAACUGUAACGGAAUACAGUUACUCAUAUUUUGUAUUCUGAAUACGUAACGGCGGUACAUGUAUUCCGUUACUCCCCAACACUGCACAUAAGCAGGCAGAAGAAUCUGAGGCAGAGAUUUUAAACAGGAGGCAACAUCACAUCAGUUUGAGACUGCAGGUGGAAGAAAUACCUGCAGCCUUCAGACGUCUGCAGAAACCUGCAACUAUCAAGAAGUAGCCUUCACUUUCUAACUGUUGUGGAUUACAGAACUGGAGGAGGCGUUUCGAGGGGAAUAAACAGCGUGAAGUGUUUGGGUGGAUUGAACUUUUCUGUCA
ensembl:lncRNA